rnacentral:rRNA from 1 species
GAUGAACGCUAGCUACAGGCUUAACACAUGCAAGUCGAGGGGAAACGAUAGAGAAAGCUCGCUUUUUCUAGGCGUCGACCGGCGCACGGGUGAGUAACGCGUAUCCAACCUGCCCAUCACUUGGGGAUAACCUUGCGAAAGUAAGACUAAUACCCAAUGACGUCUCUAGAAGACAUCUGAAAGAGAUUAAAGAUUUAUCGGUGAUGGAUGGGGAUGCGUCUGAUUAGCUUGUUGGCGGGGUAACGGCCCACCAAGGCGACGAUCAGUAGGGGUUCUGAGAGGAAGGUCCCCCACAUUGGAACUGAGACACGGUCCAAACUCCUACGGGAGGCAGCAGUGAGGAAUAUUGGUCAAUGGACGAGAGUCUGAACCAGCCAAGUAGCGUGCAGGAUGACGGCCCUAUGGGUUGUAAACUGCUUUUACCUGGGAAUAACGGGGCGCUACGCGUAGCGCUGUGCAUGUACCGGGAGAAUAAGCAUCGGCUAAUUCCGUGCC